GAAGUCCAGAGCGCUGCAUUUGAAAGCUCCAAGGAGACACGUCCCAGCACUUCUUUGUCUUCUCAUUUAAGAGGGUGUUCUGUGUGUGUGUGUGGGUGUGUGUGUGUCUGUGCGCUGAGUGCUGAUCUACAAAGAGAACCCAGACAAAAACAUUGAUUUCUCUCAUGUUGUUCCAAUGCUCCUGGAGUAAACAGUCGGUGGUAAACGCAGCAGAGGAACUACUAAGAUGUUUGUCACCAUCCUGUUUGGAGAGGGCAGGAUGGAACUGCUCAAUUUGAACUGCCGGCUCAUCAACUUCAUCCAUCACCUGAAGGAGAAGAGCGGGUUGGAUUCUAAAGAGCGUGUGGGCGUGAUGGACAGCAGCGGUAAAGUGAUCAACCUGCAGGCCCUGCCCAACUGUUUGGCUCUGGCCAGCAGCGUUCUGGUGGAGCGGCAGUUCUACGUCCUCCUACGAGCAUGCCGAGAUGAAGACACUGGAGCUCAGAAAUAUGUGUCUCUUUUAACCAACUACAGCCAGAGUCCUGCUAAGCUGACAGGUAACAAAAACCCAACACCUAGUGUAAUGCUCCACUAACCUUUCAGUUCUCAGUAAGUAACUCUAAGUGUUACUGUUUGUUCAUUUUGCCUUGGAAUCUCACCAACAAAAUGUUUUUGUGUUACUAUAAAAACUAACAAACGAUAUCCAU
rnacentral:lncRNA from 1 species